rnacentral:rRNA from 1 species
GACAGAGGUGCCAAGCGUUAGGCGGAAUCACUGGGCUUAAAGCGUGUGUAGGCGGAUGCCUAAGUACCUUGUGAAAUCCCACGGCUCAACCGUGGAACUGCUUGGUAUACUGGGUGUCUUGAGCCAUCUAGGGGCUACCGGAACAAAUGGUGGAGCGGUGAAAUGCGUAGAUAUCAUUUGGAACGCCAAUGGUGAAAACAGGUAGCUGGGGAUGUGCUGACGCUGAGACACGAAAAGCCAGGGGAGCAAAACGGGG